rnacentral:tRNA from 1 species
UAAAAAGAUAAGCUAAUUAUAAGCUAUUAGGUUCAUACCCUAACUAUAGAAGUAAAAUCUUCUUCUUUUUAA